rnacentral:rRNA from 1 species
UACGUAGGUGACAAGCGUUGUCCGGAUUUACUGGGCGUAAAGAGCGCGCAGGCGGUCGAUCAAGUCGAGUGUGAAAGCCCCCGGCUCAACUGGGGAGGUCAUUCGAUACUGAUCGACUCGAAGGCAGGAGAGGGUAGUGGAAUUCCCGGUGUAGCGGUGAAAUGCGUAGAUAUUGGGAGGAACACCAGUGGCGAAGGCGGCUCACUGGACCGGUACUGACGCUGAUGCGCGAAAGCGUGGGAGCAAACGGG